UACGUAGGGGGCAAGCGUUGUCCGGAUUUAUUGGGCGUAAAGAGCGUGUAGGCGGCCAGACAGGUCAGCUGUGAAAACUCGAGGCUCAACCUCGAGACGUCGGUUGAAACCGUCUGGCUAGAGUCCGGAAGAGGAGAGUGGAAUUCCCGGUGUAGCGGUGAAAUGCGCAGAUAUCGGGGAAGAACACCCGUGGCGAAGGCGGCUCUCUGGGACGGUACUGACGGCUGAGGAGCGGAAAGCGUGGGGAGCGAACAGG
rnacentral:rRNA from 1 species